CUCAGGACAAUAUCCCACACAGCUUAAGCUUUCAACUUAUAAAAGAAAAGGCCUAAGGAAUUUUCAGCUCCUAAAAAAUAACAACAUACAAAUACUCUCACAAAUGUGAUUCAGGGGACAAGUGUCCGCCCCAAGCUGGCAGUUUAACUGACAGUGUCAUCCACGCGGUACUGACUGGCUUUGGAGGCAUGGAAGACAUAGGGUGAGGAGGUAUGGAUUCUCCUCCUGUGAAUUCAAAGAGCGGCUGAGGUCAGGCACACACAGGAGGGGUACCCCAGGAAGGCUGUGAGAAGCCACAGGAUGAAGCUGUGGAACUGGAGCCUGGCUUGAGGCAGAGAUCCAAGAUGCUGGUGAUGCAGGAGCUCUGAGAUGUCUGCUAAGAAGGGCUGCGCACACCGAGAGGAACCAGCCCAAGGGAGGGAGUGUGCUGCAAGUAGCAAAGCUAGAGGAGUGCAGCCACUCAGCCUGUUGCAACUGAAGGUCCAGACUCUGGGGCUGCAGGAAUUCGUUUGCUUCUGCUGGGCUUCAGUCUUGUUUUGGGACCACAGUUGAGAGAUUGCUUUGAGUCUCAGAAGAGACUUUGGACUGUAUAACAGUGUUGAGUCUGUUAAAGACAAUGGGGAAUUUUAAAGUUGAGAUGUCAUCUCUCAGCUCUGGCUACCUGCUGCCACACCUGCUUUGUCAUUAUCAACUCCCACUCAGGAACCACAAGUCAAAAUAAAC